AAGAUAAUAUAUCAAUAAAUUAAGCGGUGUGCUUGUGUGUUGUUUAUGUACGUGUGGCAUGACUUUAAGAUGAGUUAUGAAUCAUGGGUUUACAUAUUCAGCAGUGAUAUGAAAAGACCUGAUUUUUUAUGAACUUCGGCGCUGUUUAAUUUUCAAAGCCUUUUGACAGUCGUUUUACUGUUAAUAUGUACAUGUGCUUAUAUUCGUGGAAUAUUCCCAAGUUUGCUUGACAGGAAUAAAGUCGGAUUGUUGGGUACAUUCUGGAAAUGUGCU